GUCUCUUUGUCUUUUAUAAAUAAAGAGUCGGGCCUGCUCGGUGAAUGUAAAUUGUUUUAACAGCUGCGGUAUUUUAACUGUACUAAGGUAGCAUAAUAAUUUGCCUUAUAAUUUGAGGCUAGAAUGAAUGGUUUGACGAAGGUUAAUCUGUCUCUAUCUUAUUUAUUAGAAUUUAAUUUUUAAAGUGAAAAAGCUUAGAUUUUUUAAAGGGACGAGAAGACCCUAUUGAGCUUAUAAUUUUAUUGUUAUUUUAUUCUUGAUGAAUAAAGUAGCAUAUAAAUUUUAAUUGGGGUGAUUAAGGAAUAAAUUAAUAAAAUUAGGUAACUUCCUUAGUUUAAAAUAUUGUUGAAUAAAGUAACCAAUAUUAUUGCUUAUAAUAUAGUUACCAUAGGGAUAACAGCGUAAUUUAUUUAGAGAGUUCUUAUUGAAAAAUGAGAUUGCGACCUCGAUGUUGGAUUAAAGUAACCUUAAGGUGCAGAAGCUUUAAAAGGUAAAUCUGUUCGAUUUUUAAAACUUUACA
rnacentral:rRNA from 1 species